rnacentral:rRNA from 1 species
GACGAACGCUGGCGGCGUGCUUAACACAUGCAAGUCGAACGGAAAGGCCCUGCUUUUGUGGGGUGCUCGAGUGGCGAACGGGUGAGUAACACGUGAGUAACCUGCCCUUGACUUUGGGAUAACUUCAGGAAACUGGGGCUAAUACCGGAUAGGAGCUCCUGCUGCAUGGUGGGGGUUGGAAAGUUUCGGCGGUUGGGGAUGGACUCGCGGCUUAUCAGCUUGUUGGUGUGGUAGUGGCUUACCAAGGCUUUGACGGGUAGCCGGCCUGAGAGGGUGACCGGCCACAUUGGGACUGAGAUACGGACCAGACUCCUACGGGAGGCAGCAGGCGGGAAUAUUGCACAAUGGGCGGAAGCCUGAUGCAGCAACGCCGCGUGCGGGAUGACGGCCUUCGGGUUGUAAACCGCUUUCGCCUGUGACGAAGCGUGAGUGACGGUAAUGGGUAAAGAAGCACCGGCUAACUACGUG